ensembl:lncRNA
UGUCCCGAGUCUCUCAGCUGUUACAAAAUCACAGCACUCACCUGCUUUAUAUUUUUAUCCUCAGGUUCCCAGCAUGCCUCAGGGGUGGAGGUGGAGGUGGAGGUGUAUGAGGGGGUGGAGUCUGUCCUGCUGCCCUGUCAGGUACAAGCUGAUGUUACCAUUGACUCCACAGCAGCAGUGUGGGACCGUGAGGAGCUCAAGGACCCAACAGUCCACGUGCGUCUGCCGAGUGGUGACGAUUUUAAAGAUCAGAACAUUCGUUACUUCAGUCGAACAUCACUGAGAGCCGACGCUCUGCUGACUGGAGACCUCAGCCUCACACUGAGGAACCCCACAGUCUCUGACAGUGGAAACUACACCUGCACAUACCGCAAGUAUGGACAAGAUCGGAACAAGACCUAUGUAGACCUGAAGGUCACAGAACUUCCUCCUCGUUCUGCAGUCUGGUUUAAAGUCCUCUCAGGUGUCCUGGUUCCUGUGGUUCUUCUGGCUGUUACGUUUGGUGCAUGUCUGUUUUGUAGAUACAAAAAGUUAAAGAACAAAGAAGUUCGUGAGGUGGAGGUGGGUUCAGGUGUGGAGUUUGCCAAGCUGCCCUGCAAAGCCACAGUUCACCUGUCUAAGGUAAAUAAAGUCGUGUGGAAGGACAGAGAUGGCAGGAUAGUCCACGUGUAUCAGAAAGACUCUGAGCAGCCUGAAAAACAGCACAGACGUUACAGGAACCGAACAGAAAUGAAUGAAGACCCGCUGAAGACUGGAGACCUCAGUCUGACACUGAAAUACCCCACACACACAGACAGAGACACCUACACCUGCACCGUCUACGGCAGGGAGGGAAAAGUCCUGAUGGAGAAAAAAGUGGAGCUGAAAGUCGAAGAGUGUCAGCUGGUGGCGAAGGAGGAGGGGGCGGAGUCUGUCUCUCUUCCCUUUCAAACCACAGACAACCUGCCUGGCGACAGUGAAGUGGUGUGGAAAUGUUAUGAACCAGAAUACAGGAAGGUCUACGUGUAUGAGAACGGCUCUGAUUGGCCUGACAAACAGGAUGACCAUUACAAAGGUCGCACUGAGAUGAAUGAAGACCCUCUGAAAUGUGGAGACCUCAGUCUGACCCUGAGACACCCCACAGUGGGAGAUGCUGGGAGAUACGGAUGUGAGGUCAACAGCAAGGAGGCCUGGAGAUACAAGAGGGUGCGGCUCACAGUUAAAGGUUAGUUAGUUAAUUCAUGUUUGUUUGUUUGUGUGUGUGUGAGGUGUGACUCUUCUGUUUCCUCUGCAGGGAAAUAAACAGAGGCCAUCAGGAUCAGCUCCACUGAUCCAUCUGCUCUGAUCACUGAUCAAUCAGUUUGAUGUGUUUGUUUGAUUAUUGAUGAGUGAAGGACAUCAGUGAACAGACGGUGCUGAAGUGGAAGAUGCUGUCAGCUGCUAGUGAGGCCUGUUUAAGCCUGUUGUGUCCCAUGUGUCUGUUCUCAGUAUGAUCACACAGCUAAUGUAUAAACUCCUACAAACCUGUGUUCUUGGAAAGUGCACUGUUGGCUGUUUCUGUAACUCUGACCAAAUAUAAGAUGUGUCAGCGUCAUGUGGAGUAAACGUUAACAAUACUGUGUGUAUCUGUGGAUGGUUUGUGGCUCGGCUGCAGGCGAGGGGAGGGGCACCGGGAAGGCUGGCGGGCACAGCUGAGAUCCAUCGCUGACCACACCUUUUUAGGAGCAGUGGGUGGAGCAUGCUGGACACAGCUGUGUGAGUGAAAAUGUCUCAGAGCAAAAUAAAAAUGAGUUUGUCAGGAAACCUGUUCAGUUAUCAGGUGUUUGUGUCACAGUGUCUGAUGUAACAGCUGCCAAAUACAAGACAUCGUUUUCUCUUCGUCCAGCUCAGGGUUAAGUGGGGGAGGCUGUCAUAGGGUAAAAGGUGGGGCACCCCCAGUUACUGCCACCCACAGACUACGUCCACAUACACAAAAAUAAUCAUUCCCAGCUGUAUUUCAUAUCUGCACUUGUGGAGAUUCAAAGGUUCAAAUACAGAACUGCAGACUGGUGGCUGCUGUCAAAUACAGCUGACACCAACAUAAUGAGUUCACCUCGUGCCCACUAGAGGCCAGCAAAGUGAACCACAGAGGGAGCCAAACACUCGAGCGGUCCCACUGAGAGAAGCAGAACACUCAGCUCCUGUUUGCAGUGUUUCACAGGUGUUCCUGAACGCAUCACUGUGAUCCUGAAGAAAAGUUGAAACUCUCUUUUCCUGGGAGGAUUUCUGCAGCUGAUCCCAGAUAAUGAACUAACACAGAUCCAAACAUGAGUUUGAUAUGAGUCUUUGAGUCUGUCCUGUCUGUGGAUGAUGGGACUGAAAUCGUUUACAAUUUAAAAAUCAGGGAAGAAGAAAGUAAUGAUCUCAUAGGAGGAACACGGCGGGUCUGUGUACCGCGCUGGAACGAUAGCGCUGUGCAGGAUGGCUGCUGUGUUCGCUUCGGAUGACUACUCACCCCCACCCAACCCUGUGGCUUGUCAUGUCUCUCACAAUGUUGUGCUGUGGACAUUUAUGUGCUUUUGUGCAGAGGAGUUUUUUUGUUUCCUGUUCCCAUGCUGUCCUACCAUGCACAGCAUGAGCAGAGGUCUCUGUUUUUCCUCUUGUACUUUCCCAUUGUAGUGCACAUUUCAGUGUUUUUUCUGUAACGCUACCGAUCUCCGACUUGUAUCCCCAUGUAAUGUCUGUGCUGUGUGUGUAACGUCGGAGGGGGUCCCAUUUCACUGCAGGGCAACCUCCAUGUGACGAAUAAAGCUUUGAUUGAUUGAUAAAUGAAACAAACAAAAUCUCAAGAUGACUGAGAAAAAACAUCAAAUGUUUAAACUGAGAAAAUGCAUUAUUAAAAAAGGCUUAGCUUAUUUGAACCUGAAGGCAAACAUGAUAACAACUCCAUGUUUUAUAUGAAUAAAAACACAAGUGGCC